GAUGAACGCUGGCGGCGUGCCUAAUACAUGCAAGUCGAGCGAACAGACGAGGAGCUUGCUCCUCUGACGUUAGCGGCGGACGGGUGAGUAACACGUGGAUAACCUACCUAUAAGACUGGGAUAACUUCGGGAAACCGGAGCUAAUACCGGAUAAUAUAUUGAACCGCAUGGUUCAAUAGUGAAAGACGGUUUUGCUGUCACUUAUAGAUGGAUCCGCGCCGCAUUAGCUAGUUGGUAAGGUAACGGCUUACCAAGGCAACGAUGCGUAGCCGACCUGAGAGAGUGAGCGGCCACACUGGAACUGAGACACGGUCCAGACUCCUACGGGAGGCAGCAGUAGGGAAUAUUCCGCAAUGGGCGAAAGCUUGACCGAGCAACGCCGCGUGAGUGAUGAAGGUCUUCGGAUCGUAAAACUCUGUUAUUAGGGAAGAACAAAUGUGUAAGUAAAUAUGCACGUCUUGACGGUACCUAAUCAGAAAGCCACGGCUAACUACGUG
rnacentral:rRNA from 1 species